CAAAUACAAAUGUAUAGAGUAUAUUGUUCAAGAAGGAACCCUUAAGACACGCUACCAGUUAAUUUCUAAGUGGCUUUUGAUAAAAUAUAAAAGAGAUAUUUUUUUGUCCUCUAUCUUCUUCUUCUCUUUUCCCUAAACCUCUCUCUCUUUCCUCUGUCGACAAAACGCGAAAUGGUGAAUUCGAUCUCUUGAUCCAGCUUCAAAAACAUAACGAAAUUAUCAAUCACAGAUCCACAAGAAGGUAUAAGGAGAGUCACCAGACUUGCUAGGCGCACAAUCUCAUCCUCUGUCACAAUCCAUCCUCCGUCACAAGGGAAAUUAUAUAUUUUGAUGGUUUCUACGGUGAUCGCAAACAGAGAGAUAGGGAGGUCGAGGUGUUUUGGAUUUGUCAGCUUCAGCAGUGAAGAUUCUGCAAACACUGCUGUAUCAGAAAUGGAUGGAAAGGUCUAUGGUUGGGGAAGAGGAGAACAUGGAAGACUCGAGUUAGGUGAUAAUGGCAGAGAUGACAGUAGCCAACCUUGUAGGCCAAUUUGACUGGUCCAAAUGGGGAUGGAUCUGAUCUUGCUAAAACCAUUGGUAUCGAUGUUUGCUGCAAGUUCCCUGUCAUUGAGUUUCCAUCUUCUGUUAUGUAAAAUGUUUUCUCUUUCACUUUGUUUUGUAACACUACUAAGAAAAUUUGUAAGAAUUGACAACCUUUCAUUUUGGAAUAUAAUUAAGCAAUUGUUGAAAAAAAUUGAA